rnacentral:rRNA from 1 species
GUGAACGCUGGCGGCGUGGAUGAGGCAUGCAAGUCGAAUGGGUUUAGGCCCAUGGCAGACGCGGUAGGAACAAGUAGGUACGUACCCCAAAGUCAGGGAUAACCCGGAGAAAUCCGGAAUCAUCCUUGAUGGUCUCGAAAGAGUAAAGAUUUAUCGCUUUGGGAACGGCCUGCUUUCUAUCAGCUUGUUGGUAAGGUAACGGCUUACCAAGGCUACGACGGAUAGGGGAGGUGAGAGCCUGACCCCCACCGAUGGAACUGAGACACGGUCCAUACUCCUACGGGAGGCUGCAGUCGAGAAUCUUCCGCAAUGGACGAAAGUCUGACGGAGCGACGCCGCGUGGUAGAUGAAGUCCUUAGGGACGUAAAUACCUUUUAUGAGGGAAGAAGUGUAUUGACAUUACCUCAUGAAUAAGGGGCUCCCAAUUCUGU